rnacentral:ncRNA from 1 species
GUCAGCACCCCGACCUAAAGGACGGGGCUUCAUGCCUCUCCUUGAGGGAUAACUGACCAGCUUAAGUACCUUGAGUACUACAUGAAUUCCUGGGCGGAGCCCAGGAACGAGACAGCCCUAAUUGCUG